GGUAAUUCUCAUAAUUAGAUAUCUCACUAACAAGACACAUAUAUAAUAUCAUCCUAAAGCUUUGUUCAAGGAGCAUUACAACAUAAUUAACUCAAGAAACCUUAGUUUCACCUGAACAACCUGCAACUGAUUUUUCACAUCAUACAAUUAUGUCAAACUUUAAAGGAUGAGAAACAAAUAGACUCAAACAUGGACCGUUACUACGUUGAUCUGGAAUUGCAUAGUACAUAGCCAGAUAUGAGUGAGCUGAAGGCCAAAGCCGCAAAUGAAAGGAAGGACAAUGCUACAGAGGCGCUUGCCAUAUCAGGAAAUUUGUCCUUGCCCCAAUUGGACUGCCAAUCAUCAAUGCGAGUGGCAGCAGAAGAUGAUGCUGAUAUCAGAAGAUAUGUUACCACCUGAUCUAGGGCAAAAUCAAACAUGUAGCGCAAAUGAUGUUGCACGAUGUUCUUGCCGGUGGCAGAUUGGUAGGCUAAAUCGAAUGCCUGAGCUGCUGAAUACACAAAUCCAAUGACAUUCACUGACAUACAGUACCUGCAUCCACAUAACAAGAAAUGCAUAUCAAAUCUAAAAAUAUUUCUUUUCAUCUCUGCAACUUGUACAAGUCCAAGAUAAACGACUCAUCACUGAAGUAAUAACAUACCUGAACUCCUUGUAGCGAUG
rnacentral:misc_RNA from 1 species